CCUGCAGUCGACGGUGAUGAGGAGCUUGCUUCUCUGAUCAGUGGCGAACGGGUGAGUAACACGUGAGCAAUCUGCCCUUGACUCUGGGAUAACUGCGGGAAACUGUAGCUAAUACCGGAUACGACCUUUGGAGGCAUCUCUGGGGGUGGAAAGAAUUUUGGUCAAGGAUGAGCUCGCGGCCUAUCAGCUAGUUGGUGAGGUAAUGGCUCACCAAGGCGACGACGGGUAGCCGGCCUGAGAGGGUGACCGGCCACACUGGGACUGAGACACGGCCCAGACUCCUACGGGAGGCAGCAGUGGGGAAUAUUGCACAAUGGGCGCAAGCCUGAUGCAGCAACGCCGCGUGAGGGACGAAGGCCUUCGGGUUGUAAACCUCUUUUAGUAGGGAAGAAGCGACUGGGUUUUCCUGGAAGUGACGGUACCUGCAGAAAAAGCACCGGCUAACUACGUGCCAGCAGCCGCGGUAAUACGUAGGGUGCAAGCGUUGUCCGGAAUUAUUGGGCGUAAAGAGCUCGUAGGCGGUUUGUCGCGUCUGCUGUGAAAACCCGAGGCUCAACCUCGGGCCUGCAGUGGGUACGGGCAGACUAGAGUGCGGUAGGGGAGAUUGGAAUUCCUGGUGUAGCGGUGGAAUGCGCAGAUAUCAGGAGGAACACCAAUGGCGAAGGCAGAUCUCUGGGCCGUAACUGACGCUGAGGAGCGAAAGCAUGGGGAGCGAACAGGAUUAGAUACCCUGGUAGUCCAUGCCGUANACGUUGGGAACUAGAUGUGGGGACCAUUCCACGGUCUCCGUGUCGCAGCUAACGCAUUAAGUUCCCCGCCUGGG
rnacentral:rRNA from 1 species